AGUUCAAAGAAAAUAUUUUGAAUUUUUUCCUGCCCAGUGUUUAUAUAAAUGGCCGCAGUACCUUGACUGUGCUAAGGUAGCAUAAUCAAUUGGCUCUUAAUUAGAGUCUGGAAUGAAAGGAUUUAUGGGGAUAAGCUGUUUCAAAAAUAUUAUUUUUAACUUAUUUAAAAAGUGAAAAUACUUUUAUAAUUAUAAAAGACGAGAAGACCCUAAGAAUUUUUAGAAUAAAAUAUUUAUUUUUAUUUCUUUUUGUUGGGGCGACAAAUAAACAAUUGAACUUUAUUUUUUAAUAAAACGAUUAUAUUAAUAAAAAUUAAAUUACCUUAGGGAUAACAGCAUAAUUUUUAAAAGUUUGUGACCUCGAUGUUGGACUAGGAACUUAAUGGCUAGCAGUCAUAAAAGAUUGUUCUGUUCGAACAAUAAUUUCCU
rnacentral:rRNA from 1 species